rnacentral:rRNA from 1 species
GUGUCAGCAGCCGCGGUAAUACGGAGGGUGCAAGCGUUAUCCGGAUUCACUGGGUUUAAAGGGUGCGUAGGAGGACUGGUAAGUCAGUGGUGAAAUCUCCGGGCUUAACUCGGAAACUGCCGUUGAUACUAUCAGUCUUGAAUACCGUGGAGGUGAGCGGAAUAUGUCAUGUAGCGGUGAAAUGCUUAGAUAUGACAUAGAACACCAAUUGCGAAGGCAGCUCACUACACGAAUAUUGACUCUGAGGCACGAAAGCGUGGGGAUCAAACAGGAUUAGAAACCCUUGUAGUCC